CGAUAGAGGGCGCUGUAAAAAAAAAGUCACGCGCGCCAUUUUGAAAGGACAAAAAUUGACGUUUCGGAAUCUGGUCUUUCGUGGAUUUUCCAGGAAUGCAGGAAAACGUUGACGAGAAGAGGUGCCUACAUGGAUGCCUGUAGAAGGGUGCUCUGUCCAUCUUGGAACAAGAGUUCUUGGACUUGUCAAGAUGGAAGAUUUUACAUUCUAGUACAUCUGCUGAUGAGAGACACUGCCAUGCAAGAUGCCUGCAGAAGGGAUGCCAUCAUUGUCACGUCCACUUCGAACAAGAGUUCUUGGAUUUGUCAAACAGGUUGGUGGUAGACACCUGCAGAAGGGCUACUCUCUAUUUUGGACAAGAGUUCUUAGACUUUGAAAAGAUAAUGAACUACUCAAGAUAAGACAUCAGCAUCAAAUACUGAGGGAAAAGCAUCUUUUCAGUCUCCGCAAGGACUUUCGCGUGAAAUAUGCAAAUAUACAAACAUGCAGUGCAGUAUAUAUUGCGGGAGUUGUUGAUUCAACUCACUCUUCGCUGAGCAGCUGUGACCCACUCUCCCUCAACCUGCCCAUCCCCACAAACAGGCCAGUAACAGGAUUCUUAAUUAUAGACUUGAUUGAAAAAGGGGGGCAUGACCCUCGUCCAACGUACGCCCAGGUCGCGUCCAUGGUUCCUCCAUAAGAUGGGGGUUUUACAUGGCCACUGAGUGCUGAACUGUAAAGUUCAGAUUGACGUUGGGCACCGAAUUAGUCUAAGAAUCCCACGACUCUACAUUUUCAAAUUCUUUAUGAAUAUUUUGACCACAUAUGCUUAUUUGUUUCUAGAUUGAGGUUUUAUCUUGGGUUAGCCCCUUAUGAUAUUAAUUUAAAAAAAACAGAAAAAAAGAGUUACCAAGAAAAGCACAGUUGGCAGCUUUGUUGACCUAUAUAUACACCAUUUGCAGGUACUGAAAGCAACUUUGGACGCUUUCCUGAUUUCAAUAUCCAUCCCAUUUCUGGGUACUGGAAGCAAAUCUGGUUACUCUGUCAAUUUUCAUGCCCACCCCACUGCGGGUAUCGAAAGCAACUUUGCUGCUUUUCUUGUUGUUCUUUUCCUGAAUUCCAGAUAAAUGGAUGAAGCUCUCCGACAGCAUCAGCGACCCCAACCUGUGACACAUCACCCUCAAUCUUCUCCAACGUUACUCACGUCAGCAAGAGUGCCAUCCACUAUGAAAACAUACAGUGCUUCCUGGAAAAAGUGGGAGUUGUGGGCAUCCUCCUAGACCAGGGUGCCAAUCUUUUCAAUAGAGCCGCUAUAUGUAUCUUCACUCCUCCGAAGUAUGCAAAAAUCUGCAGCAGACACUGCAUCAGCUGUAGUCAAUUGGGUUCAUAGUUUAGCUGGAGUAUCAUCACCUACAGAUAGCUUGUUGGUCAAGAUGGCACUACAAGGCUACAGGAGGUUAACAGCAUCAACUCCACUGAGAAAAGAGCCUGUAACAUCCGAGAUAAUGGCAAGCUUGUACAGAGCGUGCGGGCACUCCGAUGCAUGGGGCUGGAUGACCUACGAAUACUAUUCACUUGCUUUAUUUGCUACACUGGAUUUCUACAUUUCAGCAACAUUAGCAAUGUCCAGAGAAUGGACUGUACUAUUUUAGAGGACACGCUAAUCACCUAUUUAACCAAGUCAAAAACUGACCAGUUCCGCUAAGGUACAUGUACAUGUAGUGAUAUCACUAUUGGUAGAACAUUUAAACCAUCCUGCCUGGUGGUAAUUGCUGAGCGAUACUUCCCAGCCAUGGGUGACCCAGUAGAUUCGCCGCAACUAGUACUUCACAGAAUCAUGUGAUCCAAAACUGGGCAGGCGCCGAUGAAUUGUGGAGUCAAUUACAUGUACACAAGAACUUGGGAUAUCGUACUAUGUACAUGUAGAAGUACUAAAAACCAUUUGUUCCUGAUAUCCCUAGCUAUGGCCUCCACAGCCUUAGAUUGGGAGGUGCAUCUGCUAUCUUUUUUUUUUACCUAAUUGCACAGCACAGCAGACGGACAGAUAAAAAACGCUUACAGUGUACAUCAAAAGCGAUCAUGCAGCGUCUUUGCUCCCUUCCACAGCAUGGGAAGUUGAGCUAGUAAAUCAUCAUGUACAAGUCCAAUGCGGUCGAUUCACAAUGGUACGCCUCCUGGAGUUUGCAAUGCGUUGACCAAUCAUAGCGAGAAACCUGUCGACCCUUUCCAAACGCGCGUUGGGUUGACAGAUUCUGAGCAUGGUGAUUGGCCAUUGCGUUGCAAACUAUUGGAAGCGCACUAUUGUAAACUGACCGUAUUAUCAAGACAUUGUGAAGUUUAAAUUCUGUGAUUUUCAGAAUUUAUUACUAGAUGAGGAAUGAAUAAAUAGUGGUGUGCAAGUUGUGAGGCAACAAGCAGCUCCACCAUUCCACUCAUUCACUAACUUUGUUUCCACUAAUCUCUAUAGUUUUGUUUAUUUUUAUAAGAAAAUUAUUUUCUGACAGAAGCAUGGAGGAAGAAAUUCCAGACGAUCUUGGUUGUGGGAGCUAAGUAAGCAAUCAUGUAGGUCUAAACUCCAUUUGCUGAGGGAAAUCACAUGCAUCUGGAUGUAUGGUACAAGUACAUUUAGCAUGUUCAAGGAUCAUGUAUACAGCCUUAUUUACAAUUCCAUGUAUGUUCAUGAGUGAGACUAAUUAGUACAAAUGUUCAUCAAUUUCAUGUUGAGAACAUUCUGACCAAUGGUAUACAAUAUGCCAUUUACUGAUUCCAGAACAGAUACUGACACAAAUCUAGACAUGCCUGAUAUUAAAUGCGAGUAUUAUGAUCAAUACCAGUUUGUCGAUAAUUUUUCUUAAGUACAUGUACAUGUAGAUGACUUUAAUCGCAGAUCCCAAACCUCUGCUUAAUUGCUCGAAACUCUGCUUUAUCACAAAUCCUAAACCGGUUCCACUUCUAAUUUAAAACAUUCCAUUAUGGAUAACAAUGGGCAGUUACGGGUCCUUGACACAAAGAGAAAGUCUCAGAUUAGCUCAAUUCUAGCGUGGACUGAUGCCUUUCUUGUUUAGCAUCAGUAUUUUUAAGAGCACACCCAUGCAGGAGUCAAGUACAUGCAUGUCAUCAGGACAGCAGCAGCACACUUUCCCGGCCAUGGUUGGAUUGAAUAUGACAGGCAGUUCAGAAUGCACCAGCAGUCACACCCAACUCGGUCAUGGGCAGUAAUUGACGGGGAACUAUGGGCACUUCACAGGACUGCACCUAGAAUCCCUAAUACAUACAGUGUACGUUGCAGGCUCAAGGGGCACUCAGGGGGGCAAAACAUUCGGGGAGUUCCUUUUGUUGGUUCCCUCAACAAACCAUUUACAGCACAGGCUUGUGUUUCCCAUGCAAUCGAUCUUCAUGCCCAAAUUCCCAAUGCAAGUACGCGCACCAAUGCCUCGGAUGCAAUGCCGUCGGACACAGACUUGCUGCAUGCAAAGUCGGCAAAGGCAAACCAUCCGCCACCAACCAGUAAACUGUGCGCUAUGCAACCACCCUGCAGGUUUGGCAAUCUUUGUGUAUGCUGCCUUGCUCCAACACCAAUUAAACUCUUAUAGGGUCGUCAUGAGAAGUCAGUAUUGAUUCAGUGUUGUUACCAACUUUAUUUGCAAGAACGACCGAUAAGGUUGCGAUAGAAUUGUAAGCUAACUGUUGACUGAAUUGGAGAAUUGAAAAACAGACUAUUACUGCAUUCUGGAUACGGGAUACUGGACUUACAUGUACAUUGUAAAUACAGUUAGAAACAGGAUGUAGUUAAAGUCACAUAACUAAGCGAAGUUCGAUCGGCAUCAAUGGCAUACCAAGCACAGACCUUAAAGCAAAAAUAGUACUAAAAUACAUGUACAUGUAAUUAUGUCAUGAUGACGUUAUCAAGUGGUUUAUUUUUAAAUUUUGAAUAUUUAAAUAUUAUGAUACGUUUUUUUAAAUCCAUAGAAAAUCUAGCUUGGCCUCCCGCCUGCAGCAUUCUGUUUGCAGCAAGUGGCAGAGUAAAAUGUGGUCUUUAAUUCAUCUUGUGUAGGUCAAAUCACGUGACCCUUUCUUCCCUUCGAAACCGGAAGUGAGCUUACUGUUUAAAAGUGCUAAAAGAUAUUGACUUGUUUUCAUCGGUGUUAGUCGCUUUGGGUACUGUACACUUCAAAACACCUACUGGUGAUGUCACGAAAUUGUCAAGCGCCCUCUAGCAACAGGUUGAAAAUUCUGAAAAAAAUGAAUUUUGAAUAGAUGUCUGUGGCAAAGUUUCUUGGAAUCCCCUGAAAAUUGGAUCUAAUGAUAUUUACCCAUUCAACACAUUUGUGAAGUUUGGGGCUGAUGACGUUGAAGUAAAAAAGUUUCAAUAAAAAGUCCUUUUCCUCUUAAAAGUGCAGUAAAAUCAACCGUAAAGACAAAAGCGUGAAUUAACCCCCUCACAAUAUUUGUGAACUCGAAAAUUUAUCCUAUUCGCAUACUGUGCAUUGGCUACUUUGUGCGUGGACGCACAAUAUCUGCCUAUAACAUACAUGUAGGCAGCGCAGUACAUGUCUAAUUGCACUGAAACCUUGCAGAUAGUCAGAAAGGGAAGGUUUAUAAACGGAGAUUCACCUCAUAUGAUGAUAAUGUCAUAUGAUGAUUCACGUGACAUUAAAGGUGCAUCCUUUAAAGUACCAGUACUACCAUUCAGUGCAUGUAUAUCUUCUGAAGUACAUGUCCAAUUGGGUUGAAACUUGGGCAGAUAUUUACAAAGGGAAGUGUUAUAGACAAAAUUGACCUCAUGUGAUGAUGACGUCAUCAGAGGACCCCAUCACGUAACAUUAACCCUAAUACUCCUCAAACCUUCACCUGUUGGAGGACUGAGGACUGUUAGGGUUAAAGGUACACUCGUCAAAGCAGUAUAUCUGGUGAAGUGCAAGUGCGAUCGGUUUCAAAUCUUGCAGAUACAUGUAUCGUGGAAGUGGAGUGCUUUAGACAAACAAUGAUCUGAUGAGAUGAUGACGUCAUCAGGAGACAAGUCACGGCAUUAAAGGUACAUUCUGUAUGAGCCUAUAUCUUGUGAACUACAUGUUUUAUUGCUUUGAAAUUUGCUAGAAAGCUAGAAUGGGAAGUGUUAUAGACAAGAUGACAUGAUGUACAGUUAAAGGAUAUAAACUUUAAUUCGUUAUAUCCUCAAGGGUUUGAAUUUUUUGUCACAAUGAGGUCACCAAAAAUAUUACUAGAAACUUUGGGAAGAAGUGAGAAAUCCAUGUGUGAUAGUAUCUCAAAUGAAGGGAUGCCCUUUUCUUAAGAAAAAAAAAUAAAUAUCCGAAAAAGCCCUUCGCUAUGUCCAUCAGAGUUCAGACAGACAAACCUAGUUUUUCUUUUCCUUUCAUCCAAUGUGCUUGGCUUUGCCCAUAUGGAGGGAGGAUUGGCAAUUCCCUGAGUUGGGAAAUUGCUUGGCAGUUUCUUUAUGAGAAAAUAGAUCCUUGCCAACCCCAGCCUUGGUGUUUUUCCCUGCUGGGGCUCCCCUUGUAGCCUGAGGGGUAAGACGGGCCGUAUAACUUUUGUUGACCAGAGAAAAAUGGCAUUUUGACCUGUUUUUAGUACCAUAAACAUGUACUCAUUUAUUAUUCAUGCAUGUAAAUCACUUGUAAGUCACAUGUAAAACACAUAUAAAUCUCAAAUUCAACUGUUAUAAGGUUUUUAGAAGUUAACUACAAUGUAACUGCUGUUUGCGGAUGUUGUCAUGUUUAUGAUAACGUUGUUAAUGCAAACAAUCAAAAUGUUUGAUCAAGCAAAAAUGAUUCUGAUAACUUGUGUUGUAAUUAUUGGAUGUGAAGUUUAUUGGUUUACACGAUGUAUGAGAGUUUACACUCAAUAAAAUCCACGGGGGUAGUCAUGUCCAAGUAGCACUUCUGUUUCCGUGUGUACCUCCUUUCCUCCGGGCCCAAAUAGAAAUGGAAAGUUAAGCAUCUAAAAAUUUGUAGCUUUUGUUCAAGAAAACAGGCUUUGUCACUACCUGGACCGGGGUGUGUUGUCAAAUUCAUGAUCUCGUUAUUACCCAUCUCACAUUGGUGAGAGUCAACUAUAACAUGACUGAUCUAUUGUGAGAC